CUUGAUUGAACCAUAAGAGGUCUAGCCUGCCCAGUGACAUUGUUUAACGGCCGCGGUAUCCUAACCGUGCGAAGGUAGCGUAAUCACUUGUCCUUUAAAUGAGGACUAGUAUGAAUGGCCCCACGAAAGCUAUACUGUCUCCUUUUUCUAAUCAGUUAAACUAAUCUUCCCGUGAAGAAGCGGGAAUAAAUAUAUAAGACGAGAAGACCCUAUGGAGCUUUAAACAACUGAAACACUUGUAUUUCUCAUUAUACCCCAGAAACCUACACUUAACCCCACAUUUUGUUUCUAGUUUUAGGUUGGGGUGACCACGGAGAAAAAAUUAACCUCCACGCUGAAAGAGCCUAACCUCUAAACAAAAAGCUACAUCUUUAAGUAUUAACACAUUAACAUAAAUUGACCCA
rnacentral:rRNA from 1 species